CCUCCCCUACCCUCUUUCUCCUUCAGUUCUGGACUCAGUGAACUUGUUCUGGUCUAAGUCAGAAUUUGACAACUAGCUUCCUUGUUGGAGUUCCUGUUUUCAAAAAUGGUUACUUAAACCAAACCUGUUACGGAAACCAACCAAUAAUGCUGGAUAAAUUUUUUUGAGUCCAUAGAAACAUUCAAGAACCAAAAUGACAUGAAGAAUUACCAGGAUAAAUACUAGGAGAAGACGAGAAAGGUAAACAGAGAAUUCAAAAUCACUUUUGUUCUUAAGAUAUUUGACAACCCAGAUGGAAAUGGAGCUGUGUUUUGAUAAUGUGGAGGAGUAAGGGGAACAGAAAUGUAAAACACGAGUGCCUGCCAAAGCCCAGGAGCCUAACGGAGAUGCCCACCUCACUCAGCAGUGGACGUGUUUCCUGGGACCCUGAAGACGGUGCCCAAGGUUAAGGGUUUUGUUCUUUAAAGAGAAAAAUAAAAUGGAAACAAUAAAAACAACCUUCACCCAGUGCAGAGGACUGAAGGGGCUUUUGUCUGGGACCAUAAGACGGUAAUACGGAGCUGUGGGUCGUAAGGAUUGCUUUCUGACGGUUCUCGGAAGGAUGGUGGAUGUCCAAGACUCUCAGUGUAACUGCGGCUUGAUGGCAGAGUGAGCUGCUUCACUGAGGUGUGUGGGAUGCGGUAAGGGCAGAGGGCACCCGAAACGCAGCAGGAUAGCAUGGAACCAAGUGGUGGAAUCAGGUCAGACACUUUCCAAAGUUCCAAUUAGGCAUGGCUAGUGAAAUGAGCCGUGAAUCGAGCUUCAGUCUACAAUGGUCUUAUUGCAUGGUUUUUACCUUGUGGGCCUCAGUUUUAAAGUCGAUUCGUGUGAGUUCUGAAAUUAGAAACUCGUUUAGAAUCUCUGCUUCCGACUUAGUUCUAUUCAACACACAUCCACGUAAUGAGGAUGCUGAGAGGUCGUCCCGAGGAAAAAAGCAAGGAGGGAAGUUCCGUGACAGCUGUGCGUGACCAAUAGGAGCCUAAGGCAUUCUUAUUUUUAUUCAUGGAUUUGCUUCAGGGUUAAGUAUAAAGAACAACGGUGCACGAGAAAGCUAUUCCUUUAUUAACGUGGAAAGCAAGUAUAAGUAACAAUACUGUGCGGUAGGAAGCGUUAUUAAGAAAUAGCCAUGUCCUAGCAUAUCGCGUGAACUUCAAAGGGAGAGGAAAUGCCCCCACCUCUGCCCUCCCCCCCAAAGAAGACCCAGAGAAACAGGAAAUACAUAGUUACCAAAAAGCUACGUUGUUUGAGAAUGGGGUAUGGGGGAACAGAAUUCACAGUUACUGUCAGUAGUACAAGUUGGAGGGGGAGAGUCCGUGGGAAAUAGACUUCAUUCAGCAUUUCAGGAGCAUUAUUAGGAACCUCGCUCCCAGGGAGUCUCUCCUUCUGCUACUCGUGGCCCCUGGGAUCUCUUCCCACAGCCAAGCCAGUCUGGAAGCCCAGACACCCACACAUCACGAGAGAGAUUAACGGUGGUUUUAAGCCACUGGGUUUCAGGGUUAGCAUGUCACACAGCAAGAGGUGACCCAUAGAGCAGGCCAGUUUGGAAAUGAGGACAAAGAACAGGGCUCACAAGCAAAACUGCCAGGCAAGCACCGAGAACAUGAACAUGACAGAUGUAAGCAAACAUCCAUGCAGAGCCACUGGGCUCUCACUGCAGUGCUCCCCAUGUGUGCAAGAGGAGGACAUUUCAUUGACGCAGAGCUGCGAGGCCUGGAGUCAGAUGGCCCAGCACGUUGGGACACGUGUUUUUCUCACGCUCUGCUGCGCAGUGGGAAACACCAAUCUAACUGUGCUGGGGGCGGGGGGGGGGGGGGGCAGCGGGGGCAGACCACCAGGUCCUUGUCCUUGGUGAUCGCCCACCAGUAUUUCCAACACCAGUCCCUCCGGGGAAGCCUGUGGACCCCCUAAGCCAGGGUGGGCAGCCCUCCCAGGCACCCCGGGACUUUUCAGUGCUGUGAUGGCCCUUUGACUCCCCUCCCUGGCCGUCUGCAGGGGAGGGGGGGUACUGACAUUCCCUGCCUGUACCUUGGAGCCACGUGGGGGGCGGGUGAGGCAAAGGGACCAGAUCCACUGGCCUGGAUGAUCAGAGCACUCAGGGCAGCGAUCUCUCUGCUGAACCUCGUUGCUUCACGAUGUGCAAGAUUUUCUUAACACGCGAUAUAAAAGAAGGUUUUAGAAGACAUGCUGAUGUGAUCCUUUUCAUGAGUAUCAGCGAUCUGCAAACACAUGCAGUGUUUCAAAACCUUUCUUCAAUUAGUAGUUCUCACUCUGUCCUCUGCCUCACCGCCCCCGUGUUAACUCGCUCCCUUUAGAACACGUGUGACUCCCCACAGUGAGUCUCUAGAUGGAGGGAGAGUUUGGCGGUGGUGCCUGGAGCUUUGACAUUUGAAAAGGCCCCUCAAGAGCCGAGGGGUGUAGGAGAGGAAUCCUUCCCCUCCCUUCUGUUUCCCUUGAGAAUCACUCUUAGUCGGGUGACACCGGCACCCCCAAGUCCUCCCAGCUUACAGCACUGAGAACUAUUUGAGAAACCAGUGUAGGCUUCUCUCAGAAGCAGAAAGGCCUGUGUCCUCAGAGAUCAUGAGUCCAUCUGGUGUUCCCACAUUUCCGUGCUAACCUCACCCAGGCCGUGCGAAUGCCUUGUGGAUGAUGAAGAUGUCACAGGCCUGGCAGAGUGACUGCGGCCCACACGAUCUACCAGCUCCAGAGGUCCCUGUGAACUUGAGCGAGCUUGCUUUGGGCCCCAGUAUAAAUGGCAGUGCAUAGGAGUGAAGAGAAGGUCAGGCCUGCACGCAUUUCCUGCCGUCUGCGGAUUUUUUUUCUCGACACUGCCUGUGAGGAAUUAUGCACAAACUCCACAAAAGCCACCGGCCCUGCUCCUGUCACAUCACCACCCAGGAGCCACCAGCUGCUAACGGUUGCCAGGGCCCCAGCCAUCAUCACGGAGGACUUCGGCAGUAAGAUCGUUCUCUAAAUGUCACUGUCUACCCCCUCACCGUGCAAGUUCUUUAGUCUGUGCCGGUGCCUUAAUGUUGAGCAAGCCUCGUCUGUACUCCAGGUGGAUCUGGUAGUUUGAUCGGCGCAAGGCUGCUGCUUUCCCUGUAGACACCGAAAAGUAGACUUUCUCACUCUCCCGGCAAGAGACCGCAGUGCAGGAAAAUAAAGAUGUUUUCCACAGUGGGAGCUGCCAGCGGGGGACUGCUGUCCCCAGAACCCCGCCUUCCAUCCUCCAACAAAUACUGACUGGGGGUCUACCGUGUUCCAGGGGCUUCCAACGCUAGUUCCUUAGGGAAUCAAAUCUCUGGUGCCAGGUGAAACGAACCUGACCUGCAAUCCGGGACCUCGAGAAACCUGACAACAAAGACACUUGUGGCUUGGGGGAGCUCCCGGAGCCGCCACAAGAGCAGGUGAGUCUGGCGUCCCUGCCUGUGGCUGGAGAACACAGGCGAGCCGUGCGCCCGGUGGGCCCGUGGGGGCCGAGCUUGGGAGCCAAGCCCCGGCCCCAGGGGGUUGUUACUGGGACGUUGUCGCUAGGCCGCGCCACCGGCUCCUUGCGAGCUUGCAGACCACAGACGCAGCACAGGCCGGAGCUGUUGGCGCAUCAGACCCUGGAUGCGAGUAACCCCGAACCCCGAGUCCAGCCUCGGGUCGCGCGCCCACUGGUCGGUGCAGGCUGCCGUGCCGCGGGAAAAUCCGAGCCGAGCGGAUCGCGCUCCCGACGGAGGCGCAAAGGACGCACAUGGCCACGUCCACGGCGCCCACGCAAGGACCGGCUGCUGGUGUGAGGUCACCGUACAAACCGAGGAGCGGCGCCUUCCUUAUUUGCGGGGGACCAAACCCAGGGAACAAGGAGGAGGGAAGAAACGUCGCCCCAGGACUCAUGCAGCUAACUGCAGGUGCAGCCGCGGCCCGGCUUCCAGGGACUCUGCUUUGAUGGCAGGUGUGGCCACAAGAAAGAUGGCCAGGUGGUACCGGACGGAGCUCUGCCCAUCGUUUGUGCCCCAGGGUGCCAAGUGCCGUGCUGAGCAGUGGGGACCCGCGGGUGCACGCGGCCGUCCUGCACACCGCAGACCCCCACCAAGUGAGAAGGGGGUCGCAAGUGGAGCAGCUGCAGAGAUGAAGUCCGUAAGCUGUCCAAGGCUGGUCCAUGAUGGUCCAUGAUGAUAAGAUCCAAGGACCUUGCAAUCUUCUGCUCCAUUUUUCAAGAGGUGGCUUCCAUACUCAAGAACACUUUGUUAUCCAAAAUAGCUGCUGGAACUCCGUUCAUCACAUCCGGCUUCCAGGCAGCUGGAACCUGGAAGGUGCGAAGGGCCAAAAAAGUGUACCAGUUCUUUUCAAUAAAAUUCGGAUUCUAUUAUUAAGGAAGAAGAGAAUGGCCAUUGCACACCAGCAGAGCGGUCUCUCACACACUUACUCUGGCCCGAGAUCGGGAGUGGAGUGAAAAGCAAGAAUCUCUGUGAGUUCCUAAUGUGACAAAGCUGCCGUGAGGAGAUACAGAAAGGUCCAUGAGCCAUAGAGGUAAGUGGGCUGGAUUCUGGCUGGGCAAGCGCCGAGGGGUUCCCCAGGGGCUCCCAUUGGAAUUGAGUCUUGAGGCAUGAACAAGAGUGUGCGGGCAAGAGGGGGGUGGCACUGCGGCAGGGAAAACGGGACGCCCCCACUGUUCAGACUGGCAUCCCUCCGGCUCUGACUCCACCUCUGUCCUCUUCCUCCCGGCACAUUUCCGGGAGGGGAGACUCGUGCACCACCGGCCCCUGCCCCAGCGCCCUCAGAAGCGACCACAGCUUUCUCCGUCCAGCUCUGCAGGGGCCAGGGCGCGUGCUGCCCUCCCAUCCUCUCCCCACCUCCAUCACUGCUGCCUCUCCUUCUGAAGAGGGGCCAACUCCCAUUUUUCUCUCCCAGACACUUCUGGAAAUUCCGCCCCAAGUGAUCAAGGAUUCGAACCAACCUGCUCAGUGGAACCCACAUACCCUCGGCUACCCAAGAGCUCUCACUUGGAAAAUUAGGCUCUACGUGUAUGAAAUAAAGCUUUGGUUUCUGUUU